rnacentral:piRNA from 1 species
CUUUUCUCGGUCCUUAAAGUCC